rnacentral:rRNA from 1 species
AGGACGAACGCUGGCGGCGUGCUUAACACAUGCAAGUCGAGCGGAAAGGCCCUUCGGGGUACUCGAGCGGCGAACGGGUGAGUAACACGUGAGUAACCUGCCCCUAGCUCUGGGAUAGCUCCGGGAAACCGGGAUUAAUACCAGAUACGACCACUUUAGACAUCUGUCGUGGUGGAAAGGAUUCCGGCUAGGGAUGGGCUCGCGGCCUAUCAGCUUGUUGGUGGGGUAACGGCCUACCAAGGCGACGACGGGUAGCCGGCCUGAGAGGGCGACCGGCCACACUGGGACUGAGACACGGCCCAGACUCCUACGGGAGGCAGCAGUGGGGAAUAUUGCGCAAUGGGCGAAAGCCUGACGCAGCGACGCCGCGUGGGGGAUGAAGGCCUUCGGGUUCGUAAACCCCUUUCAGCAGGGACGAAGCGAAAGUGACGGUACCUGCAGAAGAAGCGCCGGCUAACUACGCGCCAGCAGCCGC